UAUGAUUUGUUGACAAAAAAAGGAAGAAAGAACACUAAAAUACAUAGCCAUGUAUGGUGGUGCAUGUCUGUGUUCCCAGCCACUCAGGAGGCUGAGGUAGGGGGAUCAUUUGAGCCUUAGAACUAGAAGCUGAGGCUGGGUGCGGUGGCUCACACCUGUAAUGACAGCAUUUUGGGAGGCCAAGGCAGGAAAUCAUGAGAUCAAGAGAUCAAGACCAUCCUGGCCAACAUGGUGAAACCCCGUCUCUACUAAAAAUACAAAAAAAUUAGCUGGGCGUGGUAGCGCAUGUAUGUAGUCCCAGCUACUCAGGAGGCUGAGGCAGGAGAACCACUUGAACUCAGGAGGUGAUGAAGAUUGCAGUGAGCCGAGAUCAUGCCUCUGCACUACAGCCUGGGUGACAGUGCGAGACUCGAUCUCAAAAAAAAAAGAAAGAAAUAGAAGCUGCAGGGAGCCAAAAUCACACCACUGCACUCCAGCCUGGGUUCCAGGAUGAGAUCCCUGUCUCAAAAAAUAGAAAGAGAAGUUGCAUGUGUCACUUCAGCUGGCGAUAGCGGCGGGAGCGGAGCCGACAGGGCCUGUGCGACUGCCUGGAUUUGCGAAAUGGCUGCUUGACAUUUCUGAAUCCAGCGGGGCUGAUUGCAAAGGAGACCCAAGGAACAGUGCCAAGUUAGAUGCCGAUUACCCACUUCAAGUCCUUUAUUGUGGAGUCUGUUCAUUACCAACAGAGUACUGUGAAUAUAUGCCUAAUGUUGCUAAAUGUAGACAAUGGUUAGAGAAGAAUUUUCCAAAUGAAUUUGCAAAACUUACUGUAGAAAAUUCACCCAAACAAGAAACUGGAAUUAAUGAGGGUCAAGGAACAGCAGGGGAAGAAGAGAAGAAAAAACAGAAGAGAGGUAGAAGGGGUCAAAUAAAGACAAAAACAGAAGACUGUACCACAAAAGGUUACUGUAGCCAAAAUUCCCAGAGCAAAAAAGAAAUAUGUGACAAGAGUGUGUGGCCUUGCAACUUUUGGAAUUGAUCUUAAAGAAGCACAAAGAUUUUUUGCUCAGAAAUUCUCCUGUGGUGCCUCAGUAACAGGGGAGGAUGAAAUUAUCAUUCAGGGAGACUUUACAGAUGACAUAAUUGAUGUCAUUCAGGAAAAGUGGCCAGAGGUAGAUGGUGACAGCAUUGAAGAUCUUGGAGAAGUGAAGAAGUGGAAGUGAAUUUGAAAAUUUGUAUUUAAUGGCCUGAACUGAGAGUUGAUAUAGCCAAAGGGGGAGAGGCCUUUUAAAAAUAUGUAUAUUUAUUGUACAGUGAAACUGCAGACUGCCCUCAUCCUUGGCGUUUUCACUGUUCUGUACAAGGCUGCUUGGUUUUUUAUUGCCAAAGUCAAAUAAACAGGGGAGACUGUCAUUGCUCACACAUGAGUAGAAUUUAGUCAAAUAAAAAAUUCUGGUCAUUUGGUACUGACUUUCUCUUUCUUUCUCUUUUUUUUUUUUUUUUUUUUUUUUUUUUGAGAUGGAGUACUGUCGCCCAGCUGGACGGAGUGCAGUGGUGCAAUCUCGGCUCAUUGUAACCUGCGCCUCCCGGGUUCAAGCAAUCCUCCUGCCUCUGCCUCCCAAGUAGCUGGGAUUAUAGGCACCCACCACCACGCCUGGCUAAUUUGUUGUAUUUUUAGUAGAGAUGGGGUUUCACCAUGUUGGCCAGGCUGAUCUCAAACUCCUGACCUUGUGAUUUGCCCGCCUUGGCCUCCCAAAGUGCUGGGUGUGAGCCACGGUGCCCAGCCUGACUUUCUCUUUAUCUCUUUUUUAACUUUAUUUUUUGAAAAACCCAGUAGACAUUUUGUGGGGAGCAUUUUUGUUGAUUAUUUUACUGAUCUAAAGCUGAGUGAUUUUUUUUAAAAGAGUUUGAAUUUGGCUUCCUCACCAGUAAUAUAUUUCCUUGCGUCUUUGAUGUGAUAGUUUUGAGAUGUGUGAGAAUCUAAUAGAUUUGUGGUUGAAUUUGCUUUGUUGUUACGAAGUCCACCCUAUGGGCACAACAACAUACUGUUGGUAGGAAUUGUUCGAACUAUUCUGGAGAUUAUUUGGUAAAGUAUACUAAACAGCCUUAAAACCACGUAUGUGCACUGUUUGAACCAGUAAGCCACUUCUUUGAUAUUAGAAGACAUUAGAAGAAAUAAUCAGCCUUGCAUAAAACUUAUGGAUGAAAGUAUUCAUCACAAUAUUAUUUAUAAUAAAAAAUUGCAAAUGUUAUAAAUGAACAAUUGGAAAAUGGUUAAAGAAGUGAUGGUGCAUUGUGUGGUACAAUAUUAUGCAUAUGUUUAAAGAAUCAUAUUUUCGGCUGGGUGCGGUGGCUCAAGGCUGUAAUCCCAGCACCUUGGGAGGCCGAAGCGGGUGAAUCACGAGGUCAAGAGGUCGAGACCAUCCUGGUCAACAUAGUGAAACCCCGUCUCUACUAAAAAUACAAAAAAUUAGCUGGGCAUGGUGGCACAUGCCUGUAAUCCCAGCUACUCAGGAGGUUGAGGCAGGAGAAUUCCCUGAACCCAGGAGGCAGAGGUUGCGGUGAGCCGAGAUCACGCCAUUGCACUCCAGCCUGGGUAACAAGAGCGAAACUCUGUCUCAAAAAAAAAAAAAAAGAAAGUAGUUAUUAUCCCUUGGCCUGGUAUGAGCUGAAGAAGAAAAAGGACAGUUUUAAUGAUGCAUUAGAUGAAUUUAAACUUUAAGUCAGGUGCUGCAAAUUGGAAAGACUUGUGUUUUAAAUUUCUGUGGACAGUUAAGAAACUUAAAAACCAUGAAACCAUUGUUUGUUGCCAUGCAAAUUAUAAUCUUGAAUGUGUGGUUUUUUUAAAUAAAGUAUUAGAAAUUGUGUAAUAAAGAUGUAAAAUUGAAAAAUGAAAUUCUGCAUUAACUGUGAAUUUUACUAAAUAGAAAUACUGGUGAAGCAAAUUUAUCCAUUGAGACUAUCUGGUAUGUGUUAUGUAUGUAUUCUGUUGGUGCUGGACGAUAUCUGUGUGCCUUUAUCAACAUGUGACUUCAUGUGAAAUUUCUUCAUGUUCACAGUUCUUAGCAAAUGCAGUUUCAAUCUGUACAUAGCCAGCAGUGGAUGUUACUACAGGAAAAUGCAGGAUUAAAAUUGUCCUUUUGUA